rnacentral:lncRNA from 1 species
GACAGGGUUUCACCAUGUUGGCCAGGCAAGUCUUCAACUCCUGACCUCAAGUGAUCCACGUGCCCCGGCCUCCCGAAGUGCUGGGAUUACAGGCACGAGCCACUGUGCCCGGCCUGCACACAGUCUUGAUUACUAUAGUUUCAUAAUAAGUCUUGAAAUAGAGUAAGUCCUCUAACUUCCUUCUUCUUUUCUAAAUUUGCUGUGGCUAUUCUGGGUCAUUUGCAUGUUCAUAUAAAUAUUAAAAUCAAUUUCUACAGAAAAGCCUUCUGGAAUUUUGAAUGGGCUCACACUGAAUCCAUAGAUCAAUUUGGGAUCAUUGACACUGGACAUCUCUCUCCAUUUAUUUAGGUCUUUAAUUCCUCUCAGCAAUGCUUUCUAGUUGUCAGCAUAGAGGUUUUGCAUGAUUCUAAAUAUUUUGGAGGCAGCUGUAAAUUUAAUUUUUUUAGAGUUUAUUUUCUCAUUGUUUGUUGCUCUCAUAGCAUCUUUUACUAUUCCUUCCUAUGUCCCACGUCUCAGUUUAUUAUAAUGUGUUCAUUAGCAUGAGGAUUUGCAUUAAGAUGGAUGUGAAGUCUACCUCCCCUUAUGAGACUGUCCACAAAGCAGGGAACACAGCUGCUUUGCUCACCAUUGCAUCCUCAGGGCCUGGCGUGCAGCCUGGAACAUGUUAGGCCCUUAGUAACAAUUUACUGGAUGACAGUGGAGGAUAGAUGGAUGAGAGUGGCUUCAGAAUGGAGACAAGUCCAUUUCAAAAGCUCAGAGGACACUUGUCCUCAGAUGCCUCAUUUAUCUUUUUCUGGGACCUGUUAAGACAUCCUGGACAUGUAAUCACUUGAGAGCUGUCUUGUGGUUUAAGGGACUUGCAGCAAAAGCCACAGGGCCUUUUUCCUCAUGGUCAGCACUGAUGAUCCAGGCUAUACACCUUUUUUUUUUUUUUUUUUUUUGAGACGGAGUCUUGCUCUGUCAUCCAGGCUGGAGCAUAGUGGCACGAUCUUGGCUCAUUGCAACCUCUGCCUCUUGGGUUUAAUUGAUUUUCCCGUCUCAGCCUCUUGAGUAGCUGGGAUUACAGGCGUCUGUCACCAUGCCCUGCUAAUUUUUGUAUUUUUAGUAGAGACGGGGUUUCACCAUGUUGGCCAGGCUGGUCUUGAACUCCUGACCUCAGGUGAACCGCCUGCCUCGGCCUCCCAAAAUGCUGGGAUUACAGGCGUCAGCCUCUGUGCCUGGACCCAUCUGUAUUUUUCAACCAUGAUAUUUCCAAUGCUUGGCACAGAUCCUGGCACAUCCUAGGGGGUGGAUAUAUAUUUGCUGAAUGAAUGAAUGAAUGAAACAAUUGCCAGCCUCCCAAAUGCUGGGAUUACAGGUGUGAGCCACUGCACCCGGCCUUAAGACUCCAUUUUUGAGCAGUGGGAAGUCACUUAGGGCCAUAAGAGGGGAAUGAUGUGAUGUGAUGUAUGAUUCUAGAAGAUCAAGCCUGCUACUGUGUGAAGAAUGCUCCCUACAAGGACAGAACUGGAAGCAGAGGGAUCCGCUAGGAGGGUGUUGCAGUUGCCAGGGGUUGAGGGGAUUGAGGAUGGCAUGGAUAAGGGAGAAUGUGCACCCGGGGCAGAGAGGAUCACUUAGGAUUUGAGAUAUGUAACUUUGUUUUAUUAUUAUUAUUUCUAAAUGUUUUUAUUAUUUUUAUUUUUGGUAGAGAUGGGGUCUUGUUAUGUUGCCCAGGCUGGUCUCAAACUCCUGGCCUCAAGCCAUACUCUCACCUUGGCUUCCCAAAGUGCUGGGAUUACAGGUGUGAACCACCACGUCUGGGCUGAUUAUUAUUAUUUUUAGAGGUGGGGGUCUCGGUCUGUCACUUCAGGCUGGAGUGCAGUGGUGUGAUCAUAUCUCACUCCAGCCUCGACCUCCUGGGCUCCAGCGGUCCUCCCACCUCGGCCUCCCAAGUAGCUGAGACUACGGGCUUGGCCACCACACUUGGCUAAUUUGCUAUUUUUUGUAGAGACAGGGUCUUGCUGUGUUUCUCAGGCUGGUCUCAAACACCUGGCCUCAAGCGAUUCUCCUGCUUUGGCCUCCCUAAGUGCUGGGAUUACAGGUGUGGGCCAUUGCACCCAGCGUGCAAUUUUAAAUAAAUGACAAUUAAUAAGGAAGUACAGGAUGCCAGAGAGAAAUGGAACUCUCCUAGGGAUGAAGAGGGAAGGUGAAUCUAGACCAGCACGUGCGGAUGGACUUUGAGACGUAAUGGCUUCUGUGCCAGUGCAGUUCACCUGAGUUCAUCUGCGUAUCACCCUUUUUGAGCCCUGCAGAGGCCUCACCAGAGGAGCUCACCCACUGUGAAGAUAACAGUUUAUGCCCACCCCCCUCCGUGCAUCUUCUCUUUUAGUUGUCUAUUACACAGCCUCCCCUGUCACUCCAGUCGUGGGGUCCUUCACUUCCACAGUCCCUACAGAACCCAUCCCCGGGCUGGUGCAUUGCUGAAGAAGAAAAUUAAAAGGAGCGUCUCAAGGCUAGCUUCUUGGGAGAACUCUGCAGACUCUGUCUCUGUGGCCUUGGUGGUGAGCCUCUGUGGUUGUUCGCUGGAGUCACCCCGAAAAGCUGUGGCAAGGGAGUUUCUGCCGAGGAGUUCCCCAAACCAUCCCAAGAUGGGGCCAGAUGGGUUCCCAAAGCAAGAAGCACCAAAUGCCAGGGUGAUUAGUGCAAAGCAUUUCGGAGGUGAAUUUGCAGAGUGGGCUGCAGCAUCCUCAAGACGAACAAUGAGAGAAAAGGGAGGGGGCAAGGGAGGGGUUUGCAUGAGGGUUUAAGGAAUUUGGUCCAGGGCCAGGGCUGGUUUCUUUCAGUGUCUUGGGCAACAACCUAAACACCUUUAUCAGUGCCUGGGAAUGUUCAAGCCGUGGCUUGGGUUCAAGUCUGCAGAGAAAACACGUAGCUGGCUGGGUCGCAGGUUGGUCAAGGCACUCUGUUUCUUGGUCAGGACAGAGAAAAAAGGAGGGAAAAUUAGGAGACCCUGCACCUUGAUUUCAGCCCCGUGACACUGGUUUUGGACUUCUGGUCUUCAGUACUGUGAGAGAAUAAAUUUCUGUUAUGUUAAGCCGCCAAGUUUGUGGCAAUUCAUUACAACAGACAGAGGACAUAGCAGACAUAGCAGCCGACAUUUAUUGUAUGGUAUGACAUUGUGUAUCAAGUGCCAUGCAAAAAGCUUUGCAAAGAUGAACUCAUGUAAAUCUUAAAACAUCCUAGGAAGUUACACACUCAUCCCCUUUAACGGACGAGGAAGCUG